CUCCAAAGCCAUUGGAAGUGAAAGAAAGGGUGGGCGGGGGAAAAAGUAAAGUUGGGAAAUAUGAGUGAGCAUGUAAGAACAAGAUCCCAAUCCUCAGAAAGAGGAAAUGACUAAGAGUCUUCCCAGCCAGUUGUAUCUGUGAUUGUCCAGCAGCCCACUGAGGAAAAACGUCAAGAAGAGGAGCCACCAACUGAAAAUCAGGGUAUUGCACCUACUGGGGAGAUCGAAAAUGAAGCGGCACCUGCCCUUCAAGGACCUGAUGUGGAAGCUUUUCAACAGGAACUGGCUCUGCUUAAGAUAGAGGAUGCACCUGGAGAUGGUCCUGAUGUCAGGGAGGGGACUCUGCCCACUUUCGAUCCCACUAAAGUGCUGGAAGCAGAGGUAAUGGGCAACCAUAG
rnacentral:lncRNA from 1 species